CCAGCCCAACCCCUUACACUGAUUCUGGAGAUUGAAAUCACAAGACUGAAAGAGCAAACAAAAGCAGAAAGGCAUCAGAUCAUGCAUCUCCCUGUAUCCAUUCUCUUCCUCCUCAUAGGCUCCACCUCAGCAAAAAAACAAGGAGAUUUUGGCCUUUUUACUGCUUGCUUCACCAACAAUGACAGCCUCAGGUUGGAUUGCUCUUAUGCAAAAUGUCCCAGCUCUCCGCCCUUCACCUGUGAGUUUGUGGGUUUGCCUUGGAGCCCUCCAUACAAUUCCACUAACAGGUGCAGACGUCUAAUUCCUGAACACCGUCAGCUGUACCGCAAUGUGACUACAAACUACACAUGCAUACUGACCAGAAGGAAGAGGAAUGAAAAUAAGACAAUCACCAUUGACUACAGUAUAAAAAAAGGAAGAGGAAUAAUCAAGUCCUGCCGUGACAGCUCGGGAACAUUACUGCAACAUACUUUCAUCCUCUUGGUGCCUGUUGGAAUUUUAUGCCUUUAGAAUGACCUGGUUACAGAGAGCAUGCUGAUCUGAUUGGGUACGACUAUUAACUGUUUACACAGCACUGUACAUGAUAGGAUUUUGUGAAUAACAAAUGAGAUCAUGGUAAUCUUUGAAUUAUAUUGGGACCUGCCAACUGUAAAACUUAACUUGUCCUUUUUCAAUGUUUGUAAAAACUAUAGUCUACUAAUUCACCAUUUCUUCACAAAGCUCAGUUUGUUGAAUCAGUUUAAAAAUGUGUUGUUACAGAUUCUCUCAUGAUGCAUGAUAAUCAAUCUAUUAAGUCCUUACUUUUUAGAUGUGUAUUCCCCAUAACAUACACACAAGUCAUAUUUAUUCCAAGAUAACUCCACGAUAAUUAGGACUUUGUGUAUAAACUUGGUAUCUGUAAAGGCCAGACCUCGUGUAUAAACAUCCUUAAGAACAUUUUGAAUGUUAAAAUGCCUCAUUGAUAUGGGAAAGAUUAAACAAUAUAUUCUGACAGAGUAUUAUACAAUGUGCAAUGUUGUGAAUUCUCAACCUUUCUCAUUAUACAAUACUCUUUCAGAAUAUAUGUAUGCAGCAUGAUACCAGAGAAUAGGUUUAAUUAUGUUUUCAUGUAUGACAGUUCAAAACAGGUCUUAAAGGGUAAUAAUGUAAUUGUAUUGGCUUUAUGCUGCAGUUAGAGUGUCAUGUUUUAAGGAAAUGAAAUGUACUCUGUUUCCAG
ensembl:lncRNA